UCCAGCCCUCUCACGCACUAGACGAUUUUGGUCGUCAGAUCUCGCAUCCCGAUAUUUCUGGCCAUUCGAUGGCUGUCCGAGGGGCUGCUGCUCCGGUGGAAAAAUCCAAAGCAUGUGGUUAACUCGGCUUUCUGCCGUGUGAAGCCCACGAACGAAUAGCCCUAACUUCCCCUCUCUCUGUUUGUUCGCACGACAGCAGGUCUCGAGUGACUACACGAAGGAGCAGCCGCUGCCGCCGCAGUCGGGACUUGCUUGCCGCCGCCUAGACUCUCCCUGGCCGCCGCUGCCUCAAAUCUCGCCGUCGUCUGGACUCGGCUACACUUCUCCGUCUGUCUGCCUUCACCACCAUGGGUAACAUACUCAGGGAGCCAUCGUCGCUCCUGCUGCUUCCUCUGGAUUGUCCUUGUUUGCGAUGCCCCACCUAUGUAUGUUUCCCCAAUCUAAUCUAUUUGCUUUCCUGUCUUUUCUCCUCUGGGUCUGUAGUUGUAGUAGCAAGAUCAGGGGCUGGGCGUGGACACCUCCGGCCACGAUAUAAAGUUGAUGCUGGUGAGAUCCAAAUUAGAUAAGAUCCACCACUCGCCUCACCACGAACAAGGGCAAUUACUACAUCUCUAAUACUGGUUGGAAAUUGUGAGUUUUAGAUUUAUUAAAUCUGGUUGUGUGUUGGUCCCUGUUGUGAUUUGAGGAGAAGGUUGUGGUACGGGCGUUGUACAGGCAGUAGGCACAAACGGGAGAUGCUGAAUGUGGCGUUUUACUGACACUGAUUUUUUUUCUAGAUAAUGACGGGCACUGUACAGGCAGUGGGCAGAAAAUGUGAUUUGAUCUGUUAUAGACUGUACUCCAUAUGAACAUGAGUCGUUAGCUAUCUGAAAAACAAAUAAAAAAGUGUGCACUCAUUUAUAUGUUUAGUUAUAUAAGAUAAAUCGAGAUCCCUCUGCCCCACUCUUCGUCAGGGCUUUGUUUCCCCUUUCCGUAUUACAUUUUAGAUGUGACUUUUGUCGUGUUGCUCCCCUUCUUAUACUGUUAUUUAUUGUACUUUUUGUGCGAUUUUCUAUAUCAUUACUAACAUUGAUAGACACGAUGGAACGACCAUGAUCACCCUACCUUGUUGCUUCAUCUUGCAGUAUAAAGAAUUUCUAGGCAUCAUUUUUUUCUUCUUACAUUAGUAUUUUGAAUAAACACCCCCUUGAUUCAUAAGAUAUUUAGAUGAAUGGAUGUUAUAGUAGUAUGGUCCUUUCAUUUCUAGAGUUAUUGUUUUGUUACAUUAUUUUUAGAAUAAAUAGCUCUUACAUUUUAUUGGGUUUCCUACCAAAUGGAUCCUCCUAAAGUAUAUGCUUGUGUUAUUCGGAACCUCUACAGUGGGUUGUCAAGAGCAUAGGGCAUUGUUGCAUCUUAUCUGUGUGUCUACAAAUUUAUCCCAAUAUUACCCUUCUAAUGCAUCUUUAAUUUAGUUCAGUUUAGUCCUCACAUAUGUUCAUCUUCAUGUAAUCAGAUUGAUGAGAGACUGAUGUUGCUGUGAUGAUAAGUGCCUAUGAUUUCUGUACUUUGCACUGAACCGACUGAAGCUGACAUUGAUUCUUGGCUGCAAGAAUUGGGAGUAUCUAAAGCACCAACGGUUGAAGGAGCUCAUCCGCCCACCGAGAGCAUUGCAGCUUUCCACAUGCCAUUGAUUAAUCCAUCUGCUUUAGUUGCAUCAGAUACUCCAUCCUUUAAUUGUUCUUUAAUUGCAUUGCUGAUGUCACUUUCAUAUAUGUAACUAAGUGAAAAUAGGGCUUUGUAAGGAUGUCACACUAUUAUUAGUUUGACAUAGUGUGACAUGUUUCAUUGAGAAGCUUUGUCAAGAUUAGUAUAGUGAUUACUUUCAUGGAAUGCCAUUUGUUUUCACCUUUCGUGUAGGAUCACCUAUUGGCAUAUUCAUGGUCAUGAAAUGCUUAUGUUGUAUAUUUUUCAUCCAAUUUAUGAGAUGCUAGAAAAAACUUGGUAGAUAUGGAACUAA